UACGGAGGGUGCGAGCGUUAAUCGGAAUUACUGGGCGUAAAGCGCGCGUAGGCGGCGUGAUAAGCCGGUUGUGAAAGCCCCGGGCUCAACCUGGGAACGGCAUCCGGAACUGUCACGCUAGAGUGCAGGAGAGGAAGGUAGAAUUCCCGGUGUAGCGGUGAAAUGCGUAGAGAUCGGGAGGAAUACCAGUGGCGAAGGCGGCCUUCUGGACUGACACUGACACUGACGCUGAGGUGCGAAAGCGUGGGUAGCAAACAGG
rnacentral:misc_RNA from 1 species